CUACGUGCCAGCAGCCGCGGUAAUACGUAGGGUGCGAGCGUUAAUCGGAAUUACUGGGCGUAAAGCGUGCGCAGGCGGUCUGUCAAGUCGGAUGUGAAAUCCCCGGGCUCAACCUGGGAACUGCAUUCGAAACUGGCAGGCUAGAGUCUUGUAGAGGGGGGUAGAAUUCCAGGUGUAGCGGUGAAAUGCGUAGAGAUCUGGAGGAAUACCGGUGGCGAAGGCGGCCCCCUGGACAAAGACUGACGCUCAGGUGCGAAAGCGUGGGGAGCAAACAGGAUUAGAUACCCUGGUAGUCCACGCCGUAAACGAUGUCGACUUGGAGGUUGUGCCCUUGAGGCGUGGCUUCCGGAGCUAACGCGUUAAGUCGACCGCCUGGGGAGUACGGCCGCAAGGUUAAAACUCAAAUGAAUUGACGGGGGCCCGCACAAGCGGUGGAGCAUGUGGUUUAAUUCGAUGCAACGCGAAGAACCUUACCUACUCUUGACAUCCAGA
rnacentral:rRNA from 1 species